CAGCAGCCGCGGUAAUGCGUAGGUGGCAAGCGUUGUCCGGAAUUAUUGGGCGUAAAGGGCUCGCAGGCGGUUUCUUAAGUCUGAUGUGAAAGCCCCCGGCUCAACCGGGGAGGGUCAUUGGAAACUGGGAAACUUGAGUGCAGAAGAGGAGAGUGGAAUUCCACGUGUAGCGGUGAAAUGCGUAGAGAUGUGGAGGAACACCAGUGGCGAAGGCGACUCUCUGGUCUGUAACUGACGCUGAGGAGCGAAAGCCAGGGGAGCGAACGGGAUUAGAUACCCCCGUAGUCCCUGUCUCUUAUAC
rnacentral:rRNA from 1 species